CCUACGGGCGGCUGCAGUGGGGGAUAUUGCACAAUGGGGGGAACCCUGAUGCAGCGACGCCGCGUGGGUGAAGGAGCGUUUCGGCGCGUAAAGCCCUAUCGGCAGGGAAGAAGCUGACGGUACCUGGCCAAGAAGCCCCGGCUAACUACGUGCCAGCAGCCGCGGUAAUACGUAGGGGGCAAGCGUUAUCCGGAUUUACUGGGUGUAAAGGGGGCGCAGACGGCAAUGCAAGCCAGGAGUGAAAGCCCGGGGCCCAACCCCGGGACUGCUCUUGGAACUGCAUGGCUGGAGUACAGGAGGGGCAGGCGGAAUGCCUAGUGUAGCGGUGAAAUGCGUAGAUAUUAGGAGGAACACCGGUGGCGAAGGCGGCCUGCUGGACUGUGACUGACGUUGAGGCCCGAAGGCGUGGGGAGCAAACAGGAUUAGAUACCCGGGUAGUC
rnacentral:rRNA from 1 species